GCAUUGGUGGUUCAGUGGUAGAAUUUUCACCUUUGAUACAGAAGACCCAGGUUUAAUUCCCUGCCAGUGCA
rnacentral:tRNA from 1 species